UACAUUAUAGUGUAUGAGCAUAUAAAUUUUUGAGGUUUAAGGAAAAGUUCAAUCUUUUUUUGUAG
rnacentral:tRNA from 1 species